AUACGUAGGGUGCAAGCGUUAAUCGGAAUUACUGGGCGUAAAGCGUGCGCAGGCGGUUUUGUAAGACAGUGGUGAAAUCCCCGGGCUCAACCUGGGAACUGCCAUUGUGACUGCAAGGCUGGAGUGCGGCAGAGGGGGGUGGAAUUCCGCGUGUAGCAGUGAAAUGCGUAGAUAUGCGGAGGAACACCGAUGGCGAAGGCAAUCCCCUGGGCCUGCACUGUCGCUCAUGCACGAAAGCGUGGGGAGCAAACAGGAUUAGAUACCCUGGUAGUCCACGCCCUAAACGAUGUCAACUGGUUGUUGGGGAUUUAUUUUCUCAGUAACGAAGCUAACGCGUGAAGUUGACCGCCUGGGGAGUACGGCCGCAAGGUUAAAACUCAAAUGAAUUGACGGGG
rnacentral:rRNA from 1 species